rnacentral:lncRNA from 1 species
GGACUUGUAAAGUUGCAUGCGUCUGGGAUCUUAUAAUAUAUUUUAUAGUAGUAUAAAGGUGAAUGUUUUGCUGAGUCAGGUUCUUUGCGCCAUUCUACAACCUGUUUAUAUGGUUUCACGUAGGGCGAUACAAAUGUAAACAUCAAUGACGCAACCUGCGACAUUAACAUCAGGUUGCCCGGAUGAUGAACCACCCGCCACAAUCUUCCUCGCAGGAUAUAAAACGAUCAGAAGGGAGUUGAAAGCAGAUCAUUGCAAAUCCUAAACGGAGGAAGAAAGCGGCAGGAUAUUGCUGUUCGCGAGGGUGUACCAAGAAUGGCAGACACAUGAACCAUUCCCCUCCACUACCCCUCGCAGUAGAUUGAGAACUCAAAAUCAGUUAAAACAACAUAUGGCACUACCACCUAGCAGUAGAUUGAGAACUCAAAACCAGUCAAAACAACAUAUGGUGGUGAUAUAUUCAGGGACAUAUGGGAAGUUCGGUAAGCGGAAUGCCCAUGGAAUCAAUUGGCAACCCGACCAGUUUUACUUCCACGUUAAUUAAUUUGGCUACAGCCUGUAAUGGCAAUCAAGACGAGGGCAAAGGUAGAACCCUAAUCUUGGUACAAUGCAGCCUUAAGGAGCUGUGGUUCACAGUUUCAAUCUAAGAAAAAAAUUACCCCAUACUAUAAACAAUGCCGAUCUUAGGUAUAGAUGAUGCUGAUAUUGUUCGUAGGUGGUAAAGUGUCAGUCAAUGCUUUCUAGGCAAAUGCAUAUCCAUCAAAACGCAGCGUAAUUCACUGCUCGGAGCCCAGUGCAUUUCAUCAUUCAUAAUACCAUAACAAAACAGAUGUUUGAUUAAAAGAAUCAAACACAGCCUAAGAUCUCACAUGAAAGGAUGAAAAAUAAAUGUCAUCUAAGAUGAAGGAAAAAAAAGAAGAGUCAGUCUAAGGCCCUCAGGGAUCAUGCUUGUGAUUUUCAUCAAGGAAGAAAAUUCUCAGGUCUCAAAGAUUCAUGCCAUCACGGGUCAGCCUAUACCAAAGAAACCAAGUAAAAAUGAAGGGAAAAAAGAAACUCAAUCAAGGGAUAAUCUUGGAGAGUGUUAUUCGCUGCGCCUCACGGAUGAGUAGGCGAAGCGACUCAAGAUCUCCGGGAUCUAGCCCCUCUGGAAAAUUCGAGCCCCGUAUAGGAAAAUCUGAGGGAUCGAGUCAUCAAGGGGCUGUUUAGACUAGUUCGAAAUACUCCUAAUCCUUUCAUUUUUCUAGUUUAGUCAUAACUAAUUCCCGGCGAAAAAAUUAAACUAGUUCGAAAUACUUCUAAUCCUUUCAUCUUUCUAGUUUAGUCAUCUAAAUAGAACUGUUUGUUAGCAUUUUCGUUUAGCCAGUGGGAGUCGGAGUCCCACUACGUGGGCGCAGCCUAACUACACUAGUGUUGAAUACUAGAAAGAAAAUAAUAGAGAAAAACCUAAAGAACAAAGAAAAAGAGAGCGUAGAGAAAAGCUGAGAACAAAAACUUUCGCAUGUUAAAUAAUAUAAAGAAAACAAUCAAGAAAAACGUAUGAACAAAAAAACGUACGCU